rnacentral:lncRNA from 1 species
CAAGUUAAUAUGGUGUCAUUAUGCCUUGAUGCAUUUUUUAUCUUUGAAUUGGGAAUACAUCACCUUGGGCAUGUUUUGAAAAAUCUGACUAGGCAAGCUUUGCACUUAUUCAUGAAUGUGUCUCGGCCUCCUCACUUUCCCUUCUGAGUGUUGACAAAAGCCUUCCUGCUUCUUUGAUAAUUAUAAGAUCUGUUGAGAAGCAUAUUCCAUGAAAUUGCAUUCUUUGUGCUAGCUCUACGCUCCACAUGUGAAGACUUUGUGUUUGUGUCUCGCCUUAUCAUUCUUCUGGGCUCAAUGCUCCUACUCUCACCCCAACGAGGAGAUGCAGUUGUCUCCACUUUGUACCUUGAGGCCAUUAGAAAAUGAUGUUCAUUGGCAAAUUGCAUUCGCAACUUAUCUAACACCACUCACCAAUGCAACUUCCAAGCCCAUAUGAGUUUGACUCAUACUCACUUAUGAAGCUGCUAUGUCAUUGAAGGAAACCUUAUUCUGUUAGUGUGGAUUGUUCCAGAGGGAAAAUGGUAGCAAACUAAUUGAUGCAAUCGUAUACUAUGUAAAUGCAUUGGCUGCUAAGCAGCCCCUUGUGCUAGAACUUCAGGCAUACAAUGUUAACUGGACUUUGAUUUUUAGAAUCAGACACUUUGUAUGUGUACUUUUAUAAGCAUAUGCAUGAAUUGGUACUCUUCCCUAAUUUUGUUGAUGCUUUUGCAUGUACAUUAUAUAGUUUAAUGAUAUAAGUGACUAGUUGGUUGUAGAAUUAUGUGGGUUUACAGCCAAUAGUUCUAAAAGCUUAAACUAAUCGAUAGAGGGAGCCCACAUGCAUAUAAGGCCCAUUGAUAUACCAUGGACAAGUAACGUGGGAUAUUUUAAUGUGGAAUUGACAAGGGGAGGGCCCCACACGUGGCAUAAACUGAGGUGAAAUUUGGCUCUAAUAUAAUGUUAAGUCCAACAUAAAACGCUUAAGUUGUUAGAAGAGAGCAUGGUUUAAUAUUUUUGUACUCUUAACACUCUCCCUUACAUGGUGGUUGGACUUUGACCUAAGACUUAAGCAUGAAAAUAUAUAAUCGGGGAGGUAAAUGGCGGCUACAAAAAUUUGAAUUCAGGACCUCUCAUUCUAAUACUAUGUAAAGCUUGAACUAUGAGAAAAUGGUAUAAUUUAAUUUAAUGGUUCUCUUCUUAUCUUUGUGGGAAUUUGACAGGUAUUACAUCUCCCAGCAAUUGACAGAUAAGAGUGAUGUCUAUAGUUUCGGCGUCAUUCUUCUUGAAUUGAUAUCAGGUCGAGAAGCAAUUUCUAACGAAAGCUUCGGUGUGAACUGUCGCAACAUAGUCCAGUGGGUAAGUCCAGUGUAAUAAGUACUAUGAAACCUUCAUUUUUAAUUUCAAAGCGAAAUCUGGCACGUGUAUGUUCCUUCACAUGUUGUACUCUCUAAUUAUAGGCGAGACUACACAUAGAGAGUGGGGACAUCCAAGGCAUCAUCGAUCCGAACCUACGUGAGGACUACGACAUCCAGUCGAUGUGGAAGAUAGCGGAGAAGGCUCUGAUGUGCGUCCAGCCCCACGGGCACAUGAGGCCAUCGAUCUCGGAGGUUCUCAAGGAGAUCCAAGACGCAUUGUUGAUCGAGAGAGAAGCCUUGGCGGCGCGAGAGGGCCUGUCGGAUCUGUCAAGGAACUCGUUCCACUCGUCUGUCAACAUGGAUGCCUUUGAUAUUCCUGGGACUGAGAACUACGUAGCGAUCGACGAGUCUAUUGCGCAGCCAACUGCUCGGUAGAGCUUCAUCUUCUCUUUCUUUUAAUUCCUUGUAAUAUUUCCUGUUCAUUCUUGGGAGCGGCUGGUGAUUGUAUUCCUUGUUGUCUGGGGUUAAGGUGAAGUAUCUGGUGAUCAUGAUUAGAAUUGCCUGCCUAGUUGAUCUACCCCGGUGAACCGUGGUGAGAUCUCUUUCUGUCGGUUGGUUAUAUCAAGAUAUGUGCUAGCUAGCCCAGUUGAUACGCUUGGUUAUAUAAAGAUAAGGGUUUAGCCCAGAACAUUUAAGUGGGAAUUGUUUUCUAUCACUCUUACUCGACGCCAUGGUUCGAGUAAUUAUAUCUGUGCAUUCUCUUGAUUCCAAUGCUGAAAGCAAAAUCCUGGUGGAAUGAUGAACUGCCACACCUGAUUGGAGUUGGGAUUAUUCGGGUAUUCAUAGUCUUUGCUGAUAAAAAGGGGAAAAAAUGAAUAUUGUGUCAGAUGGACUCCCAGGUUUUAAAAAUGAUGUUAAUAUGUAAUGACUCAUGUAAUAAAUUUAUAAUUCAUUAAGUGAUAUGAUAAAUUCUGUGGGUUGGCUUUCUGACGGAUGCUUUUGUCUUGUCAUUUAGUAAACCAAUUUCAUAAACAAGUCCUUCCGUCCCUAGCAUUUUGCUUUUGCUACGUGUUGGGUCCUAAUGAGCAAUGCUGGAGAUACAAAAAUUGCUCUGCUAGAUUGAUUUACUAAGUGGUGGCGCAAGUCUCUAAGUGGAUAUUAAAUUUAGUGGGCGUUGAAGCAUUUAAAUAUUAAAUUUUAUGCUCAUCUAGGGCCUAAGGUAAUGACCUCAGGUGGCAUGAUCCUGUUGACCCCAAAGUCGAGGUCGUGUGACCCCAGUAAGGGCCGCCCGUGCAACCUCAGUGAGGGGUGCCUAAGGUCGCAUGAGGUGGAAAUAGCGAGGGUAAACAUUAAAUUUCGAGAGUUUAUCAAGAGGAAAGUCGGAAGAAAAAAACUGAAUAGUAUUUCAUAAAUGCUUGAAGCCCAAAGCUUGGUAGAACUUGUAUUGAGCUAAGGGUCUUUAGAGAACUUUGAAAAUGCAAUCGCAUGUCUCCAAAACUAGCCAAAAAAAUUGUCAAACGCCAGUGGCGUAUGGUCGGGGGCCUUCAGAGCCCAAAACCUAAUUGUAAAGUACAACCAAAUGCAUUUUUUGUUGAAUCGUAAAGAGGGUGAAAUGAAUAAAGAAGGAAAAGAGGACGAAACCCUUUUUAAUGUUAUGUUGGGAAGAAAAGCAAAAGAGGAAAGAGAAGAAAGUGAGGGAAAAGAAAUUGGGCAUGGAGAGAAUACUUUGGCCUUCUGUUCUUGGAGAUAAAAAAUAUUGGUGGAUGAAAUAUGGAGAGUUUUCAAAAGGAGAAAGGUAAAAUAGGGUUUUAGGACCUUUUUAAUAUCCUAAGAUGUAAAUUUUGAAAAUUAUGCUCCCCAUGUUUUUGUCCUAGUCAUGCUUCCCAUCCUUUAAAUUUCUCUCUCUCUCUCUCCAUCUUCAAUUUACUCCCUCAAAAGGCAUUUGGCAAGAUCAAAGAAGUCGGAACUUUUUCUAUAAAAAUAUCUUUAAACUAGACAUAAAACAUGAAAAGCAAUAAAUUCCAGCGAUAUCAAAUGGGGAUAAUAUGUUUCGACCAAAAAAAAAAAGAAAUGGGGAUAAUACAAUCAUACUUAAGAUGUAAAUGUAUAAGAGGCAUUGAAUCCUCAAAGAACAUAAUUUACCAAGAAAGUUUGGUAUAGUCAUCACUUUUACUUCUCAUAUUUAAAGGAUUUCAAUUUUAAAAAAAAAUAAAAUGCAAUGAUAGUUUCCUAUCAACGAAAUCGAUCUAAAUGAGUAAACUUACUCAAUUGAAUCCCCAAGUGGAGUUCGUAAACAUUCGCAGUAUAAAUGGUUGGAUUACUCGAUUUUCAAAGCAUUUGUUGCACGUGUUAGAACAAAACUCAGUGACUAAAUGUUUCACAAAGAUCAUCUCUCUAGUUAUAUAAAAACCCAAAGGCAUCAAUUAAGAGAAAUCCUUCUGACAAAAUCCGACCAAUAAUUAAUGAGUUUAUCGGUAACCUUAGAAAAUGCGAAAAACGGUGUGAAUAUUAUAUGAAUCGCAUGCUUCGGAUGAAACAGAUCAACCAAUGAUGUGGCGAGAACAAGGGGACAGAAUAUACUCGACGUAGUCCAAGUCCAUCCCUCUUCCACUCGAGCAGUUCUUCCCUACACCUCGGCCUACGCGUUUAACUCCAUCUCAGCCUUAGAUGAAGCGGGUCGGAAGCGGGGCCCACAUGAUCUAACGAUUAAAAUCCAGUGGGCUCACGUGCAAGAACUCCGUCUCUCUCUGUCGUCAUCCUCUCCUGCUCCUCUCCUUCUUCGUCGUCCAGUCAUCGUCCUCUCGUCGUCAUCGUCGAAAUCGUCGUCAUUGUCGCAUCGCUCUCUCUCUCUCUCUCCCCUCGUCCUGCUCUUUUUCUGAGCAGAGCCGAGCAAGGAGAAAGCAGGGCUGCCGUCGUCUUGCCUCCCUAUCUCUCUCUGUCUCUCUGUCUCUCUAGAGAGAGCGUUACGCAUUGUGCCAGGCUCGAAGCAACAGGCGGCGACGGCUUCAUCUUCUACACUGCACGACUCUGCCCCUCUGUUUUCCCGUCCUCUUCUUUCAGCUGGGGGUUUAAAGGUGCUGUCUUGACGCGCGAGACGAGGUACGAUAUGGCGAUUGAUCUCUCUCUCUCUCUCUCUCUCUCUCUCUUUUUCUGGGCUCUUGGCUCGAUUGUUUAAUCUGAUUUCAGUGUUGAAAUCUUGUAGAUUGAUGAAUUUGAUGGAGGGGACCGGAAGGCAUCGUUGGACAUGACUGAGGAUGAAAUGGUGUGGAUGGAUAUACCGGACGAGAUAAAUUCAUGUCCAUGUAUUUGCUGACUUGUAUUUUGGUUUGGACCUCUAAUUCAAAUAAACGCGUGUGCAUUUUCAACGCGAUGCGCGAAAUCAGCGCCUGCUGAGUGAUUCUCACUUGUCGUCCGGCAGAGAGAAGCAGGAAUCGCAUGACUGCAAGUUCUGAACUUGAAACAGAAUACUGCAGAGAUAAAGGAGGACGGGAAUAGUCAUCUUUUGCCAUACAUGGAUUGUGUUAGUAAUGUGGGUGAGUGUAUGACAGCCGCACCCAUUUUGCAUUAUGAUGAUUUUAGGGAUGAAACGCGGAGGUAUGAAAGAUCGGCAGAAUCAGGUCGAGAGAUCAGUAUAUUGGAUCUUGUCUGGUGCAAAAUAAGGGCCCUUAUUGGUGGCCAGGGAAGCUAAUUGGUUGCUCUGCCGGAGUGACAAAGGAUUAUUUUGUGGUGGCAUGUUUUGGGGAUCAGGAACGUGCUCCUGAUCGAGUUUCGCUGAUAAAGCCAUUGUGGGAACAUUUCCCACUGAUGGAGAAGCAAAGCGGCUUGGACAAGCUCCGUCAUGCAGUGGACUGUGCUCUCGGCGAACUCUCUAGGUGGGUGGAAUACGUGCUGACUUGCCGGUGUGUGCCCAGGGAAGUGCAAACCAGGUUCGAAGCUCAGGGUGAAGCUAAUCUGCUUUGGUGAAAAAUUCAAGUCAACAGGGCACUGAAGAUAGUGUCCUGAGUACGGCUUCUUUUACACCUCGAGAACUUGUCAAGUAUAUAAAAAAAUGGGGUGUCUCGCCUUGUGAUGGACCUAGCAGACUCCUCUUUCCGUGGCAAAGAGUCAACUGUUGGCCUUCUCCCGAUGGAAGGCGUUUUCUCGGCUACCUGAAUUCAUAUCGUUCAGUGGGAAGUUGGAGAACGAGACCGAUAUGACUCCAUUAGGAGAUUGUUAUCAGAACCCUACAGAGAUUCAUGGCUCCAAUCCAGAGUUUUGGGGCUGUCAUGGGAUGCCAGUGGUGAAGACAGGAUGUUGCAUAAGCAACUUGAGUGAGCGUAAGAACAGUUUCCAAGACGGAGUGCAUCCUGGAAACAAGAGAAAGACCUGCCUUGCCUUGUGCACUGAGAACUGUCUGUGUACUUCAACCGAUGAAGUUGGGUCCGUCAAAAGAUCUCGUGGGAGCUCCUUUUUGUUUGGCAAAACAGCUGCUCCUAAUGAAUCAGUAUCACCAUGUACAGGUGCUCUGACGAAGAUUAGCACGGACCAAUCUGUGCACAUGUUCGAGCAAAAUCACAUGGGAAUGCUUGAGGUCCAGAGGAAAACAGAAUGUCACAUAAACAACUCAAAUGAGCUUAAGCACAUCCCGUUUAAUGUGGUGCGUCCUGGAAGAAAGAGGAAGAGCUUCCCAGCCCCGUCAGCAAAGAAUUGUCAGCAUAUCUCGACAGAUGAAGUUGGGACAGAUAAAGGAGCUUGUGGGAACUAGUUUGGCAAAGCCGCUGGUCUGAAUGAAUCAGUAUCAGCAUGUACAGGUGCUCCGACCACGAUUAGCGUGGACCAAUCCAUGCAGUUCAAGCAAAAUCAUAGAGCAAUGCGCAGAAUCCAUAAGGUUGCAAGUGAAUCGAAUGGGUCACUUUCAUUGGAGGAGCAUCUUAAAUAAAGUCCCUCAGGUAGGAGCAACAUUAACGCCCAUUCUGGUCUCAUUCCUCAUGAUUCCUGGAGUAGAAAACACCUCCUUGGAUAUGCCUCUCCUAAUCAGAAGCUGUUGCGGCUGUCUUUUUUCCGACUUGCGCAGUGAGACACUUUUCGGAAUUCAGAAAUUCGGUUGUUCCGGAUCAUCUCCCAUUGAAUUCGUGUGGAGAGUCUGCACAAGAAGCAUCUAUUGUUAAAAUUCAGAGUACUUUGACAAACUUUAGUGUCGCAGAACCUUUGGAUCUCAAGUGCUUCAAGGAUUCUGUCAGGACCAGCACAAUAAUUAGUAGCAUUCAGGAACCGCGACUGCCGCUUGAAAAUUGGAAUGCGGGGGAUUCUCUGCUUAAAACCCCUCGUGAGAGAGGCUGUUCCUUCCGUGGUACCUAAAAUGGAUAUGAAAUCCCUUACUAUAUGCUCAAUAUUGUAAGAGAGAGACAGAGAGAGGCAACGACAGGAGUGACCCUAAACAAAAGUGAUGAUCAAUGCUAGAACUAGCGGUGUUCAAGAUUGGUGAUUGCAUCGUGAUGGUGGAUAUUUUUAUUUUUGCCGAUUGAUGCGUCUCCUUUAAAAAGUAGAAAAUUACUCGUUAGAAAACAACGUGUCUUUUAACUAAUUCGUGACGUUAAUAUAAUGGGUAAGUGAGCAUACAUCGUUAGGACUUGGGUUACCUUAAUUUAGGUAAAGAAAAGGUAAAUAAAGGAGAGCGGGAACUUUUUACGAUUCAAUGUCAAAAGCAGAAAAAGAAAAGGAGACUUGGGUUACCUUAAUUUAGGUAAAGAAAAGGUAAAUAAAGGAGAGCGGGAACUUUUUACGAUUCAAUGUCAAAAGCAGAAAAAGAAAAGGAGACUUGUGACUUAUGUGCUCGAAUGGUGGGCCAGGUAAACGCUCGUUAUCCUGCUUUUAAAGACUUUUCUCCCAUAUUGGAAUCAUCUCCCCUACGCUUACGUUUGGGUGGUUAAAAUAAAAUUUAAGAUAUGAUAAAAUUUAUCCUAUCUUACAUUUAAUAUUUAUUUAAAAUAGAAUAAAGUCGGACAUAAAAUGAUAUAGGCCGGAUAAAAUUCUUCCAUAAGAAAUGUGAGAUUAAGGUAGAUAAAAUUUAUAUUAUCUAAAAUAGGAAAAGUUUUUUUGCUCAAAUAACAAACUUAUUAAAUUAACAAAUUUAAAAUUAUAUUUCAGUAUAAAUAAUAUUUAAAUUCUAAUAUAAUAAAUUCAAAAUAACAAUUUAUAUUUAAUUUAAUCUUAAUUUUAUUUACAUAUUUGAAUUUAAUUUUAUCUUAUAAAAUAAAUUCAAUAUAUAAAAUUCAUAUAUUUGUUACAUAUUUUAGGUGUUUUAGUAUUUUAGGUGUAUUAGUACAAUUUCUAUUUAAAAAAAUUAUUAGAGAAUGAUGGAAGGGAAAGAAAGAAAUAAAAAAAGAAAUUACUUAAAAAAUAAAGGAAAAUAAAAUAAAAAUAAAGUAAACAAAAGUGUCGCAAUAUACUUUUACCAUCUCUAUUUGUAAAAUUUGUGGUUCAUUUAUAUCGAUAUGUCAUUUACAGCAAUCAAUAUAUAUGAUAUGAUGUGACUAUAUCCAACUUUAUUAAUACAAUUACCAAACAAUUGAUGGGAUAUAACAAAAUUUCCUAGAUUUCAUAUCCUUCUAGUCUACUCCUAUCUUGUUUGGAAAUCCUAAAGACCAAACGUAACCCAAAGGGACAAACCCUUCUUAUCUAGAAUCAUCUUUUGGCUUUGAGUGUGGCAUUUGGAUUGGCUCCUAUCUUUUGUUUGGCAAAGAAUGCAUAAUGGGAUUCGGACGAAACAGGGACUAAUCUCAUCCGUUACUGAAAUAUUCAACUGAAGAUGCAUUAUCAAUUACUCAUUUGGUAAGCUCAUCACCACUGUCCCACUCGAUACAAGCGAAGAAACCUAAACAAACUCAACCCUCAUCUAUAUAGACUAACCAAGAUUUAUUGAGAUUAAGAUAGAUUGGUUUGAGACGUAUGGUAUUGAUGUGAAAUGGUAAAUUGUAGUCUACAUGGCUAGUUGCUUUCUUUUCUUCCGUAAUUUUUGGAAGAAAAAACUACUAUACUACUGGUAAUCUUACUUAUGAAUUCCCUCAAAAAUUAAAAGAUGAAAGAUAACUAUUCUAAUUUUCAAAAGAUUAAGAAAACAUCAUAAAAUAACAUGUUUACUUUUUGAAAGAUUUUAUGCAUAUUGCAUUAGAUAAAAGUUAAAACAUAUGAGUGGCAAAUUUUUCAAAGAGAUAAAAAAUAAAAUGUAGUAAUCAUCCUAAAUCAUAAAAAUUAGUUGUGUAAACGGGAUGGCAAAUGGACCUGUGAAGUCUGGUUUGUAUAAAAAAGAAAUUCAAAGGGAGAAACAAAAAAAAAAAAUGGACAAAUUGGGAGGUUGGUAUUUAAAAUUUCCAUUUCAACCAUCAGCUAACGUUUCUUCAUCUACGAAACAAAUGUUUGUAUAAUCUAAUAGAUUAUAUCUAUGAUAAAAAUUAGUGUGGAGAAUUGGCCAACGAAUAAUGCGUCAAUGACUAGAUUAUCAAGAAAGUAAAAAAAAAAAAAAUCAAAAAAGAGUGUCGCAAUAUCAUAAAAAAUAAACGAUAAAUUGAAAAGGCAAAUAAAAAAGAUAUAAAAUCUAGAAAUAAAAAUAGCCCCCACACAGAUGAUACAAAUCUGUAUUUGAUGGUUGGUGUGGCUAUAGGUUUCAUACAACUAUAAAUUGAUCCGAUGGAAAAGGUCUUAAAUAAAAAAUAAAUUAAAUUAAAUAAGAUAAGAGCGUUGCAUCGAGCUACAGGAUAGUCAAAAGUAAAUUUUUUUCUAAUGUACGAGUUAAUGUCAAAAGUGGAAACCCUGACUUCUAAUCCGGUUUAUUCAAGCAACCGAUCCCCGUGUGUUUUAUACCCUCGCUUUUGAAGUAAACGGUUUGACUGGGAAGUCAACCAUCUUGUCCUCGUCUACUUCAACACAAGUCCCGAUCGCCACUAUUGUCAAUAGUAAUUCUCGCAGAUGGAUGGAGGUCCCCCGCUUCGAGAAAAUAUUGGAUACGUUUAGUCCUCCAACCUCCAACGUGGCAAAUAAGAAGAGACCUCAAAUUGCGCCACGCGUCCAGCGUGCCCCACAUUGUCGGGGAAAUUUCCCCCAUUUUUCUCUCUCCUCUCUGCACUCUCCCCCCUCUGCACGGUUUCUCCCCAAUUUUCUCUCUCCCUCCUCUGCACACUCUCUCGCCCGAAUCUCUAUCUCCGAUCGCUUUUUUUUUUUUUUUUUUUUGUGGAUUUCUAUGUGUUUCCAAUCCGACCCAUUUUAGGCCGCUUUUGCCUUCACCGGCGCUAGGAAUCGGGGCUUCUUGGAGGGACGUGGGUUCUCCACCUCGUCGUCCACGUUGCCGGAGACUGCGAACCGGGGGGAGAACUCCGGGAGUGCCGGGGUGUUCAGAUUGAACUCGCGGUGCCCCUGGCUCUGCGUAUGAGUUGACCCCACGCCCUCCGAGACGCUCACCCUGUUGGCAGUCGAGGCGGCGGCGACGGCGGCUGAGGAGGCAGGAGUGGGGGCCUCAUAGUGGUACCUCGUGCCCACCGAGAGGUUGGCCUGUGGGGAAGCACAGAUCGAGAACUCGUGCACCUUCCCGGACAUACCGGAGGAGGUGGUCGUCGCGGAGGUGGAGCUGGCCGGCUGUUCGUCCGCACCGGCGAAGAGAAAGUGUGUUGGGAGGAGAGAGGAGAGAGAAAAGUGAGAAGAGUCGGGCGAGAGAGCGUGCAGAGGAGGGAAAGAGAAGAGAGAGGAGAGAGGAAGGUGGGGAGAAAUUCAUCGAGAGAGCGUGCAGAGUGGGGAGAGAGGAGAAGAAAAGUGGGGGAAAAUUUCCUGAUAAUGGGAGCCCACGCUGGACACGUGGUGCAAUUAAAAUUGCUUUCUUAUUUGCCGCGUUGGAGUACGAGACGUGCUCAAUAUUUUCCCCCCAAAAAGAUUAAACGAUGGCUGACGAAGAUCUCGUCUUGUUCCUAAGUUUCCUCCUCUCUCCGUAAGCGAGUCGUCGCCAAAGUCCAGCUUCCACACACUGUCGCCUCCAGUCCCACUUUCCGCGUGCACAGGCCACCACCACAGCUCCGUCUCUCCAGUUUUAUCACGACGAAGCUCGACAGGUGAAAGCAAUGAUGGAACGAGCAGAUUUGAAGCCUUUCUUGCGGUUUAUGGUGAUGGCGAUUUGUGGCCCGCUCUUUCUGUAAAUGGCAAGAAGCUGAGCAGUUCCUUCUUCUCCUCUCACGGGAUUAUUUUUGGGAACUCUCUGCUGGAACUACAGCUUCCGCCAUUACCAAACCUUCCCCUCUCUCUCUCCUGUAAAGCGACUCCUUUUCUUGGUCCUUCAAAAUAAAUAGAAAAAGGGCUUCGCUCCACUGGCCCUCUCUUUCUCCCUCUGUGUUCUUUUUUUAGUCCGAACGUUGCUGACACGUUCGGACUGGCUUUUCUCCGUUUCUUUCUUCUGGGCAAUCUUUCCUUUCCCUCUCCCUCUCUCUCUCUGGGACUCGCGGAGAAGACACGGAUAUGGGAAGAGGACUCUUCCUGUUCUUGCUCGUCUUCUACACUUCGGUUCUCAUGGAGCCCUCCACUGCUCAGAUGCCAGGUUCUCUCUCUCCGCCCCUGUUGAAUCUCCUGAUUGCCUUUACUUUGGUGAAAGCCAAAGAAUCUUGAAAUUAAGACGUGACGUGCCUUCAUCAUUUUAUAUUAAUUUGGUAUGACUGAGUAGUUUUGAGAAGUUCUUUGGGUGAUGAUCCUUACCCUUAGUUUUCGUUCUUCUGAAGGCUCCUCCUUUUGCUUGCUUAUUUCUGUUGUAAGAAUCACCUGUCGCUGUUUGCUUCCACGUGCAAAUUAUGCGGUUGCUCUGUUGAGGUUGAGCAUUCCUCCGUGCAUCUGCACGUGCAAUCUUGUGACUGCCGGUCGUUUCUGUGUUUAAUUUCAAUGCGUUUCUUCGUCCUCUGCUUGUACCGAAGAAAUUGUAGAACGAAUCGUUCCUGUGUAAACGAAAAUGUGUGGUCUUCCUGUCUUGUUAAAAAUUCUAUUUAGCAUCUAUGUGAAAGUUCAUAGCACAAUCUGUUAUAGACAGACGAAGGUGUUUUUAUUUUGAUGUUUUGAGUGAGUGAAUUGAAGAAUCAAAGACAUAUCAAGAUUGGUACCUCAUUGCCCCAGGUCAAUUUACUGGUAAUUUGAAUAGCCAGUGAUUGUUAUUUUUCUAAUAUAUGGACAUUAAGAGCAUCAUAACCUUUAUCAUACCCCUGUUAAUUUCAUGACAUAUUUCAGGUAAAGAAACGUUACACUUCUUUGAGACAAGAUUGCUGCUUUUUUGCAGUCCUUUGUUGAUGAGAUACAGAUUUCCCGCAUCUGCUUCACAAUUUGCUGAUACACAUCACUUUUUUGCGUUGGCCAACUGAUAUGCAUGAUUUCAUUCGGCAGGUUUUGUUAGCUUGGAUUGUGGAGGAUCUCAGAGUUUCACUGAUGAGAUUGGGCUUGAAUGGACUCCGGAUGACCAAUUCACCUUUGGAGAAAGAACUAACGUUUCUCUCACGAAUGAGACAAGAACACAAUAUACAACAUUGAGAUACUUCCCAGCCGAUGACAGAAAGUACUGUUACACUUUAAACGUGACCACUAGGACAAGAUACUUAAUAAGGGCGACAUUCUUGUAUGGGGACUUUGACAGCAAUAACGUCUACCCAAACUUUGAGAUCUCCUUGGGACCUACUUUUUGGUCCACAAUUGUCAUUUCUGAUGCCAGUACUAUAGAAGUGCGAGAGCUCAUAUUUCUGGCCUCAGAUCCUACCAUAAGUGUGUGCUUAUCUAAUGCUACCACGGGCAACCCAUUCAUAUCUACCCUUGAGCUUCGUCAGUUCAAUGGUUCGAUGUACUUCACUGGCUUUGAAAACCAGUUUUAUCUCAGUACCUCUGCCCGGAUUAAUUUUGGUGCAGAAAGUGAAGAGCCAAUCAGGUAGAUCUAGAACAUUGUGGAUGUAUUUCUUCCAGCUUUUAUUUCUCGGCUGUUUGACUAGUUUCUCACCAACCUUGUAUUGUAUGAUUCCAGUUUUAAAAGAGUCUAGACUAUGAAUAAGUUGUUUGUCCUUAUUGCUCACAUGCAGUUCUUCUUUGGUAGGUAUCCAGAUGAUCCAUUCGAUAGAAUAUGGGAGUCUGACUCUCUAAAGAGAGCAAACUACCUUAUCGAUGUGGCCGCUGGCACCAAAAAGAUUUCAACUCAAUUGCCAAUUGAUGUUAAUCAUGACGAGAGGCCACCUCAAAAAGUUAUGCAGACUGCUGUAGUCGGAACAAAUGGAUCGCUCACUUACCGCUUGAACUUGGAUGGGUUUCCUGGUAACAGUUGGGCAUAUUCCUACUUUGCAGAAAUUGAAGAUUUGGCUCCCGAAGACACAAGGAAAUUCAGGCUGAUGCUCCCAGGCGCACCUGAUAUCAGCAAAGCUGUUGUCAAUAUAAUGGAAAAUGCUCAAGGCAAAUAUCGCCUGUAUGAGCCAGGAUUUGAGAACCUAACCCUCCCAUUUGUAUACUCCUUUAAGUUUGGGCGGACAAUAGAUUCUUCAAAGGGUCCACUAUUGAAUGCCAUGGAGAUAAGCAAGUAUGUGAAGAAAAUCGAUGGUUCUCCAGAUGGUGGGUCCCUUGAUCAAUUUCCAUUGAGUUUGUUACCGUUUGCAAGAUUGUUGCUAAUGCGAUGAUCAUAUUAUGAUUUAUCACACUUGGUGUGGGCUUGUAGAGCCCUGUUUCUGGCACAUCUAAUUUAUUAUGCUAAAUCCACCCUUUGUCAGCAUGAUAUAUGUAGUUUUAUUAAUUUAACUUAAGGUUUUUCCAUGAGCUGCAGGAGGAGUUAUUGCUAGCAUAAUUUCACACUAUACCUCAGCAGCUUGGGCACAGGAAGGUGGAGACCCGUGUCUGCCAGUUCCAUGGACAUGGGUGCAUUGCAGCUCAGAUUCACCUCCACUGAUAACUGCAGUGUAUAUGUCUACUUCUUGUGAUGUGCUUGUGUGAACACAUUUUCUUAUUCUAGGAGCAUGUCAACGCUGUAUGAACGACUGAGUUUUGAAGUUAUAAAUUGUAUUUCCGCAGCAAAUUGUCUGGUCAGAAUUUGACCGGAAACAUACCUUCAGACAUUACAAAAUUGAGCGGCUUGGUUGAGCUGUAAGUUUAUGUAGAAAUUCCCUUUUCACUCGAUAGUAGUUGAUUUCUUUCCGAUGUCUAUGCUUGAACUUUUCAUGCCAAAUGUUGAAGUAUGCCUUGGCCUAUUUUCUGAAGGAGGCUGGAUGGGAAUGCACUCACUGGUUCAAUACCCGAUCUUUCUUCAUGCGUGAACCUGGAGAUCAUGUAAGCUACAUGGAUUGUCCUCUUUGAAUGGACUUAGAUAAUUUAAUGCUGAUGAAUUUCUUUUGUGAUAGUCAUCUCGAGAACAACCAAUUGACUGGUGAGCUGCCUUCUUCUCUCGCGACUCUGCCAAAGUUGAAGGAACUGUAAGUGUUCUUAAACUUACAUGAGGAUUUCUCAUUUGCCAUGGUGACAAUUCAAAGAACUAGCGUGCCAUCUUUCUGAAUUUCACAUGUGGAUCUGACUGAUAUGUGAUUCUCGGGCCUUGAAUGAAGUAUCGAUAUAAUUGUUGAUUAGUGAACAAUUUUCUGUGAUGACUUUUGUGCUGCGUCUGAGUAAAAACCUUAUGCACAUGCUAAAUUUGACGGUUGUAGGUACGUCCAGAAUAACAAGUUAUCAGGCACAGUGCCAUCUGGUCUUCUCAACAAAAAUUUGAAUCUGAAGUGGGUACAGCCUCUGAUAAGUCUUACUGCGAUGCUGAAUGCUCCUGCAAUCAUGCACACAUCACACUUUAUCUCAUUACAAUUAACUUCAAUCAAGUUAUUCCGUGUAUGUUGGUCUAAUUGCAAAGGGCCAACAAAAGAAGGGAAAUUUUUUUAUUUUUGUUGGCAUGAUGCAGUAGAUAACACAAAAAUUAUGGCUGUUGGUGAGACCAACAACACACUGUUACUUUGUCAUAAAAAUUAUCCAGUAUUUACUGUUGGCCUUAUUAAUUUGAAUGAAAGGUUUCUCAGACGUGGAUAACAGACAUUUUGGAGCUCAGAUCCUUAUCUAGCCAAAAGUUUUAUGUGUCAUUCUUUAGCGGUUGUCGGGGUUAGCCUUUUGAUCUGUAGAGAUCCUUCAUUCUGAAAGGUUUCUCAGACGUGGAUAACAGACAUUUUGGAGCUCAGAUCCUUAUCUAGCCAAAAGUUUUAUGUGUCAUUCUUUAGCGGUUGUUGGGGUUAGCCUUUUGAUCUGUAGAGAUCCUUCAUUCUGUCACCUUAUUUUGUUUUGUAGUUACCAGAUUAACUUUUGAUCAGUUGAUUAUGGCAAAGCAAACGGCUUGUUCUCUUGCUAAGUUUUUGGUGGUACCAUGCCUUCUAAUUGCUUCAAUCUAUGGUUGAAGCUGCCACAACUUUUGCAGAACAACAUAAUCAUCAUUGUAUAAUUUAUACUUCUCUCAUAGUGAAAGGAUGUCCUUUAGAGAUCCAUAUUUUAGGAGUUCCAUUUUCAUACCUGGAAUUUUAGGCGCAGUUUGUGUUUUGGCGCCAGAUGUGGUAUUACAGCACGACAGAUAGCUUCUACUGGCAACUUAUCUCAAUGCUUUCUCACAUUUUCUCGAACUCUUUCUUUUAACCCCUAUAGAUAUUUAUAUCUGGACUUGGUUCAUCAUUCUUUCAAACUGAGUUUUUACUUUUCCAUACUUUUUGCCGCACCUGUAUCCUUGUCCAAUUAUUUAUCAGUAGCUUCUUAACGCUGAUGUCAACAGUUACACUGGAAAUAUGAUUCUUCAUGAAGGAGGGAAUAGAGGAAGCCAGACUAAGAUUAUCAUUAGUUCAUCAGUCGGAGCUGCUGUUCUCCUGGUAGCGACAAUUGCCUCCUGUCUCUUCAUAUGGAAAGGAAAGAGGAAUUCUAAGCAUGGUAUGAGUUUGUAGCAAUCAAGAGAAUGACGUAUCCAUCUUGUUUUGUUUACCUCUCUAUUCUGCAAUAUUCUUAUUUUUUCGUGUAAUCUUUGCAAGCUGACAACGUGCAAGUAUUGCCGAUGGAGCGGCUAGUUUCUUCCUUGAGUUAUGCUCCUACAGGAGCUGCUCAUUGCUUUAUGCUAUCAGAAAUUGAAGAAGACACAAACAAAUUUGAGAAAAAAAUUGGUUCUGGGGGAUUUGGAGAUGUCUUUUAUGGGAAACUGAAAGAUGGAAGAGAAAUUGCAGUCAAGGUUCUGACUAAUGAUUCCUAUCAAGGAAAGCGAGAGUUCUUAAAUGAGGUAAUUGUACCAAAUUUGGAACCCUUUAUGUUUAGGGAUGCUUAGCUUCUGUAGUCUCUGCCGGAAUCUGCCACAUGAAUUUGUCACGAGUUAAUGUCCUUUUCUUUACCUACGAGGGGUAAGCACAUGCUACUACUGGGAUCUUCUUGACUAAACUCAAAUCCCUAGGGGAGUGAAUAAUGAAAUAACUCCUUGCCCAUUUAACGGGAAUUCCGUGUGCUACUACUGGUAUCUCUUGACUAAACUCAAAUCCCUAGAGCAGUGAAUAAAGAAAUAACUCCUUGCCCGUUUAACGGGAAUUCAGUAUAUUUACCCUUUUUUUGUCCUAAAAUUUUAUUGCUGCAUAGUCUUUCGUGUUGAUGUUUCUGAAGCAUUUUCUUUGAAUUACUAUCUGAAUAUCAUCCAACCUUUUGUCACUUAGAUUAAUUUUCAAGAAACUAGUACUCUGCACUGACAAAAUUGUCAUUAGCAUCAAUUAUCAGCUACAUCGUCUAACUAAUGCUGUAAGUGAUCUAGGUGACUCUUCUUUCAAGAAUACAUCACAGGAAUUUGGUAGAAUUCCUUGGAUAUUGCCAAGAAGACGGGAGAAACAUGCUGGUUUACGAGUUCAUGCAUAAUGGAACUCUUAAAGAGCACCUCAUGCAUAAUGGAACUCUUAAAGAGCACCUAUAUGGUAAGCCCAUACGCUUUCGUCAUGCCAUGAGCCUGUUAUCACCUGUCUUUAGUAAUUCCGUAUAUCUAUCCCUAAGGUCCAUUGACUCGUGAGUGGAAUUUUAAUUGGAUCAAACGCCUUGAGAUUGCCGAAGAUGCUGCAAGAGGUCAGUAAUCCUCUAUAAACUGGUUUACUUCCCUGAAGAAGUCAUUUUACCUACCGAAGUUGGUAAUCUUAUUCAUUGUGUUCAGGGAUCGAGUACCUUCACACUGGAUGUGUUCCAGCCAUCAUACAUAGAGAUUUGAAAGGUAGCAACAUUCUUCUGGACAGCAACUUGAGAGCAAAAGUUUCAGAUUUUGGUCUCUCAAAAUCUCAAGUUGAUGAAGUCUCCCAUGUCUCAAGUGCGAUUCGAGGAACUGUUGGGUAUCUGGACCCCGAGUAAGGCAUCUUUUUGAUCGCGCCUUCUGUUUUUCAACUAAUAUAUAGUUUUUUGAAGUUGAAGCAAGUUAAUAUGGUGUCAUUAUGUCUUGAUGCAUUUUUUAUCUUUAAAUUGGGAAAACAUCACCUCGGGCAUGUUUUGAAAAAUUUGACUAGGCAAGCUUUGCACUUAUUCAUGAAUGUGUCUCGGGUGUCUCGGCCUUCUCACUUUCCCUUCUGAGUGUUGACAAAAGCCUUCCUGCUUCGAUAAUUGCAUUCUUUAUGCUGGCUCUAGGCUACCCAUGCGAAGACUUAUGUUUGUGUCUCGCCUUAUCAUUCUUCUUGGCUCAAUGCCCCUACUCUCACCGCAACGAGGAGAUGCAGUCGUCUCCAUUUUGUACCUUAAGGCCAUUAGAAAAUGAUGUUCAUUGGAAAUUGCAUUCGCAACUUAUCUGUCAC